GAUGAACGCUGGCGGCGUGCCUAAUACAUGCAAGUCGAGCGAACAGACGAGGAGCUUGCUCCUCUGACGUUAGCGGCGGACGGGUGAGUAACACGUGGAUAACCUACCUAUAAGACUGGGAUAACUUCGGGAAACCGGAGCUAAUACCGGAUAAUAUAUUGAACCGCAUGGUUCAAUAGUGAAAGACGGUUUUGCUGUCACUUAUAGAUGGAUCCGCGCCGCGUUAGCUAGUUGGUAAGGUAACGGCUUAUCAAGGCGACGAUGCGUAGCCGACCUGACAGGGUGAUCGGCCACACUGGAGCUGAGACACGGUCCAGGCUCCUACGGGAGGCAGCAGUAGGGAAUCUUCCGCAGUGGGCGAAAGCCUGACGGAGCAGCGCCGCGUGAGUUAUGAAAGUCUUCGGAUCGUAAAACUCUGUUAUUAGGGAAGAACAAAUGUGUAAGUAACUAUGCACGUCUUGACGGUACCUAAUCAGAAAGCCACGGCUAACUACGUG
rnacentral:rRNA from 1 species